rnacentral:lncRNA from 1 species
GGGGAGAAAAAACAAUAAAUAAAUAAGAAAAAGAGGAAACGGUGGACACGGUUUCUCAUACUCCUCAAUCUCACCCUCUCUGCAAAAAAAGAAAAGGACAAAAAGAAAAAGAAAUUUUUUUCCUCUUCUUCUACACAUCAGAUCCCCAAACUCCUCUUCUUCUGUCACCUUAAACGAACACCCUCCUUCCUCUUCACAUUCCACAAACCGCCAUAGCCACCAAACACAUCCUCUUCUUCUACACAUCAGAUCCCCAAACUCCUCUUCUUCUGUCACCUUAAACGAACACCCUCCUUCCUCUUCACAUUCCACAAACCGCCAUAGCCACCAAACACAACAACCGCGAAACUUCCUCCGUUUUCGUUCUUUAAACCUUUUGUUUCCACCAUCAAACACGCC